GUAGGUGGCAAGCGUUGUCCGGAAUUAUUGGGCGUAAAGAGCAUGUAGGCGGAGAUUUAAGUCUGUUGUGAAAAUGCGGGGCUCAACCCCGUAUUGCGAUGGAAACUGAAUUUCUUGAGUGCAGGAGAGGAAAGGGGAAUUCCCAGUGUAGCGGUGAAAUGCGUAGAUAUUGGGAGGAACACCAGUGGCGAAGGCGCCUUUCUGGACUGUGUCUGACGCUGAGAUGCGAAAGCCAGGGUAGCGAACGGGA
rnacentral:rRNA from 1 species